rnacentral:rRNA from 1 species
UACAGGGGGUGCAAACGUUGCUCGGAAUCAUUGGGCGUAAAGCGCACGUAGGCGGUGUGUCGCGUCGGCCGUGAAAACCUGCAGCUUAACUGUGGGCUUGCGGUCGAUACGGGCAUCACUGGAGUUCGGCAGGGGGAGACUGGAAUUCCUGGUGUAGCGGUGAAAUGCGCAGAUAUCAGGAGGAACACCGGUGGCGAAGGCGGGUCUCUGGGCCGAUACUGACGCUGAGGAGCGAAAGCGUGGGGAGCGAACAGG